UACCAGCUCUCCGAGUGGUGUGGAUGUUUAUUGGGCCUAAAGCAUCCGUAGCUGGCUGGACAAGUCCCCUGUUAAAUCCACCGAUUUAAUCGUUGGUGUGCGGGGGAUACUGUUCGGCUAGGGGACGGGAGAGGCCGACGGUAUUUCCGGGGUAGGGGUGAGAUCCUAUAAUCCCGGGAAGACCACCAGUGGCGAAGGCUGUCGGCUAGAACGCGCCCGACGGUGAGGGAUGAAAGCUGGGGGAGCGAACCGGAUUAGAUACCCGGGUAGUCCCAGCUGUAAACGAUGCAGGCUAGGUGUUUGGGCGGCCACGUGCCGCUCUAGUGCCGCAAGGAAGCUGUUAAGCCUGCCGCCUGGGGAGUACGGCCGCAAGGCUGAAACUUAAGGGAAUUGGCGGGGGAGCACCACAAGGGGUGAAGCUUGCGGUUU
rnacentral:rRNA from 1 species